AUUGAACGCUGGCGGCAGGCCUAACACAUGCAAGUCGAGCGGAUGAAGGGAGCUUGCUCCUGGAUUCAGCGGCGGACGGGUGAGUAAUGCCUAGGAAUCUGCCUGGUAGUGGGGGAUAACGUCCGGAAACGGGCGCUAAUACCGCAUACGUCCUGAGGGAGAAAGUGGGGGAUCUUCGGACCUCACGCUAUCAGAUGAGCCUAGGUCGGAUUAGCUAGUUGGUGGGGUAAAGGCCUACCAAGGCGACGAUCCGUAACUGGUCUGAGAGGAUGAUCAGUCACACGGGAAGUGAGACAGGGUCCAGCCUCCUGCGGGAGGCGGCAGUGGGGAAUUGGGGACAAGGGGCGAAAGCCGGAUCAAGCCAUGCCGCGUGUGUGAAGAAGGUCUUGGGAUGGUAAAGAUGUUAAAGUUGGGGGGAAGGGAAGUAAUUUAAUACCUUCUUGUUUUGAGGUAACAAAAAGAAAAAGCCCCGGCAAUCUUCGUC
rnacentral:rRNA from 1 species